rnacentral:lncRNA from 1 species
CACAGUUUGCCAGCCUCAAAGCAGUAUUUCUAAAGACUUGCUCUUGGCCUUGGAUGCCCAGAGCAAUAACCCACACUGCUGGCUCACAGCAAGUGGGGAAGAACUCUGGGUUACCACAGUCGCUGUUUCAUUCUCUUUCCAACGAGGGAAGGAGAGUAAUUGCUAAGUCACAAAAGGAUGCAGAGAUUUAUCAUCAGUUGCCAAUGCUCGUGGAUAGUUCAAGACAUCCUGAUCCUAACAGGGGCCACGGCAGAGCAUUAAGCAGGAAGCCCACGGAGAGUCGGGGACCAUGUGAUCUCAAAACACGUGACCAGCUGGCAGAGGACCUGGGAAUGGGCUCCAGGAAGCCCAGGUCAGGGUGCCUCCUCUGA